rnacentral:rRNA from 1 species
UGCUAACACAUGCAGUCGAACGAUGAACCACUUCGGUGGGGAUGAUUGGCGAACGGGUGAGUAACACGUGGGCAAUCUGCCCUGCGCUCUGGGACAAGCCCUGGAAACGGGGUCUAAUACCGGAUACUGACCCGCUUGGGCAUCCAAGCGGUUCCAAAGCUCCGGCGGCGCACGAUGAGCCCGCGGCCUAUCAACUUGUUGGUGAGGUAAUGGCUCACCAAGGCGAACACUGGUAGCCGGCCUGAAAGGGAGACCGGCCACACUGGGACUGAAACACGGCCCAAACUCCUACGGGAGGCAGCAGUGGGGAAUAUUGCACAAUGGGCGAAAGCCUGAUGCAGCGACUCCGCGUGAGGGAUGACGGCCUUCCGGUUGUAAACCUCUUUCAGCAUGGAAGAAACGAAAGUGACGGUACCUGCAGAAGAAGCGCCGGCUAACUACGUGCCAGCAGCCGCGGUAAUACGUAGGGCGCGAGCGUUGUCCGGAAUUAUUGGGCGUAAAGAGCUCGUAGGCGGCUUGUCACGUCGGUUGUGAAAGCCCGGGGCUUAACCCCGGGUCUGCAGUCGAUACGGGCAGGCUAGAGUUCGGUAGGGGAGAUCGGAAUUCCUGGUGUAGCGGUGAAAUGCGCAGAUAUCAGGAGGAACACCGGUGGCGAAGGCGGAUCUCUGGGCCGAUACUGACGCUGAGGAGCGAAAGCGUGGGGAGCGAACAGGAUUAGAUACCCUGGUAAUCCACGCCGUAAACGGUGGGCACUACGUGUGGGCGACAUUCCACGUCGUCCGUGCCGCAUCUAACGCAUUAAGUGCCCCGCCUGGCGAGUACGGCCGCGAGGCUAAGACUCAAACGAAUUGACGGGAGCCCGCACAAUCGGCGGAGCAUGUGGCUUAAUUCGACGCAUCGCGAAUAACUUUA